rnacentral:rRNA from 1 species
GAUGAACGCUGGCGGCGUGCUUAACACAUGCAAGUCGAACGAUGAAGCCCAGCUUGCUGGGUGGAUUAGUGGCGAACGGGUGAGUAACACGUGAGUAACCUGCCCUUAACUCUGGGAUAAGCCUGGGAAACUGGGUCUAAUACCGGAUAGGAGCGUCCACCGCAUGGUGGGUGUUGGAAAGAUUUAUCGGUUUUGGAUGGACUCGCGGCCUAUCAGCUUGUUGGUGAGGUAAUGGCUCACCAAGGCUACGACGGGUAGCCGGCCUGAGAGGGUGACCGGCCACACUGGGACUGAGACACGGCCCAGACUCCUACGGGAGGCAGCAGUGGGGAAUAUUGCACAAUGGGCGCAAGCCUGAUGCAGCGACGCCGCGUGAGGGAUGACGGCCUUCGGGUUGUAAACCUCUUUCAGUAGGGAAGAAGCGAAAGUGACGGUACCUGCAGAAGAAGCACCGGCUAACUACGUG